AUGGGCAAAAAAAAAAAACGAUAAACAGAGCGCUCCGAGGCGGUUAUCGUUCACAUUCACACAUCCGUUUAUUGGAAACAAGGAAACAAAACCCAAAAAAAAAGCGUCCGCGUCCCGUCCUCGAACCGGAGGGCCAGUCGGCGGGGAAUUGCGCGCGUCUGUCACCGCGCCGUCACUCCGCAUUGGUCCAGCGCGACGUCAGUAAACUCGGCCGCGCGGCCGCCGGCUCCUCAUUGGACGCGGCCGCUGUCCGUCACGGCCCUCGUUUCGUCCCCCCCCCAAGUGCCAACAAGCUAGAUUGCCUGCCGUGCCUUUUACUUUCUACGCAUUUCUAUUUUCUCAUUUAUUUAUUUUUUAACGUCCCGAGCUGACCUCGAGCCAGCGGGGCGGAGGGGAGGGGGCGUUCCCGACGGCCCGGCCGGCCAAUCAGAGCGGGGGAGAGUGACACCGACCUUUUUGGCGCACCAAUGCCGUCGCGGGUUCGUCGCGAGUGGCACGAAAUAAAGCAAUGGUGGCUCGCGAGACCCCAGCCGCCCCCCCCCACGGCAGCAACCCCCCCGUCUAGACAGUGACAGGUGUGUGUAGCCGAUGUGCCGCUCGCCUGUAGUCUAGACAGGAAUAAUCAGUCUUAACACUCGAGCUACACGUUUUUUAUUUCAUCGUGCGUUGCAACGGUUCGUACUUUCGUUCAACAGAAAGAAAAAAACAUUUUUUAUAAAAAAAUACCCCAAAAAAUACGAGUGCGUUUUUUUUAAGAAACGUGCUGCAUUUUAAUGUUCCACUGCGAAAUAUCAACAACGUCACAAAAUAUCCUACGUUGUAAAUACGAUGUCACACGACGACGAAUAUCAUCGUGCGGUUUCUGUUUGCAUCACAUCGACGAAAAAAAAAAAACAAAAGAAACACUCAAAUCUCAUGACCUUGACACGAAAUAGCAGGCGGCUCCGCGUGUGUCACGUCGAACAAUCGCUCUUUAUGAUAAAAUUAUAUACAGUUGAACGGGGUUUCCGGUUACCGUCUCACGCGUCUCCGGCUCGCGGGCGCCACCUGCCGGACGUCGCCGGCCGCGGCGGCGCCACUUUCCCCCCGGGUUCACGGAAGGACAUGGCUGUCCUACAUACAGGCGGAGGCACACGCUGUGACGAAACGAAAGGACACCCAGUUACGGCCGCAGCCAUUUGCGGAUUGCUUUUCACUUCAUUAGCCCGCACACAACAACAUAAUAGCCGCCGACCGCGGAGACCGACGCUCCCAAAACUUGACAAAAGGAAAACCCGGCGCACAGGUGAACGUGUACGGGUACGGCGACCCGAAACCGGCGCUGACGUCAUCAACACGCCGGUUACCGUCGCCCGGGGCAACCCCGUGACCUGA
ensembl:lncRNA